ensembl:lncRNA
UGCAGACCGCGCAUGCGCAGCAGAUGCGGAAGUGGUCGGUGUAGCAGGGAAUGUCUCACUCAGUCCGGUAUCCGACCGAUACAGACAUGCUCUGUCAACAAUAGCGGCGCUUUAUUCGCUUACGUGGACCAGGCAGCGUAGAGGUAGUGCGCGUCUAUUCUCUCCCGGUAGCUAAAAUACAUAUAUAUCAAAACCAAAUCGUAAGUUACUACUUAUCCCUCGCUUUAAAGAGAGGGCACGAGCUAGUUGCUAAGCUAAUGCUAGCAAGGUGUAGGAUUUCAGGAAGUUUCCACCUGCCUUACCUUCACCUGGCUACUGUAAGCGUAGCCUGCGAGCUAACAGGCCGUAAAGCAACGUAAGGUAAUGAGUUUGGGCCCAGUGUCAACGGUGGAGGUGACAGUUAGAUGGCUGUCACGGCAUAUGUGCUUUAAUAUACAGUACAGCAGUGGGUUAAUUAUUAGAUCAGAAUGUACAGUAUUUUUAUAUUGAAGUAUUUUGCCCUAUUUUAUUUUAAUCGUUGUCUUUGGGGAUACUGCAAUUGAAAAUACAUUUGGCAUUUUAAUCACUUUUUAUACUUCGUGUAAUUACCCUUCAAUGCAUUCAUGUGUACAUGGUACACGCUUUGCAGUGUUCUAAUAUACGUGGGGAUAGUUCUAUAGUAUUCUGCCCAGGUCAAAGAUUGCAGGAUACUUUUCCUCCCAAGACACAACACAUUUCCUUGUUUUAGAUGUUUUUCUUCAGGUUCAUCCUGUUCCUUUUUCCUCUGUUAAUAUGUUCGUAAUGUUCGUCAAACUUCUAACCCCACAGGCAAACAACUUUUGUUUGUUUUUGCUAUUGCUUCAACAAAGCACCCAAGUCAACCUUUAAUACACACAAGCAGCAUUGUCACAUGCGUCUUCUGAUCUUAACCACAGUAUAUAAAUAUCACCAAUGCAACAAUUCCAAGAAAUGUAUUCAUAGCACAGUGCUUAAAAAUGCAUUGGUAAAAACACUGUAUAUUGGGAUAAUACUUAACUAACUGAAUUGGGGAUCAGCACAAUGGGGCCAAUUGGUACAGUUUGUACUGUAUACAUUAUAUGCUUACAUUUUUACCAUUUUAAAUCAUCGUCCAAGUAAAUUUUUCCAAAAAUAUGAGUCAAUUGUGUAGGAU